AACGAACGCUGGCGGCAGGCCUAAAACAUGCAAGUCGAACGAACCUUCGGGUUAGUGGCGCACGGGUGAGUAACGCGUGGGAAUGUGCCUCUGGGUGCGGAACAACGUCGGGCAACUGACGCUAAUACCGCAUAAUAUCUACGGACCAAAGAUUUAUCGCCCAGAGAUCAGCCCGCGUUAGAUUAGGUAGUUGGUGGGGUAAUGGCCUACCAAGCCUACGAUCUAUAGCUGGUCUGAGAGGAUGAUCAGCCACACUGGAACUGAGACACGGUCCAGACUUCUACGGGAGGCAGCAGUUAGGAAUAUUGGACAAUGGGCGCAAGCCUGAUCCAUCCAUGCCGCGUGUGUGACGAAGGCCUUAGGGUUGUAAAGCACUUCGUCCGCGAAGAUAAUGACAGUAACGGAAGAAGAAGCUCCGGCUAAAUUCGUGCCAGCCGCCGCCGUAA
rnacentral:rRNA from 1 species